AGAGUUUGAUCCUGGCUCAGGACGAACGCUGGCGGCGUGCCUAACACAUGCAAGUCGAGCGAUGAAACCCUUCGGGGUGGAUUAGCGGCGGACGGGUGAGUAACACGUGGGUAACCUACCUCAAAGAGGGGGAUAGCCUCCCGAAAGGGAGAUUAAUACCGCAUAACAUUAGUUUUUCGCAUGAAGAACUAAUUAAAGGAGUAAUCCGCUUUGAGAUGGACCCGCGGCGCAUUAGCUAGUUGGUGAGGUAAAGGCUCACCAAGGCGACGAUGCGUAGCCGACCUGAGAGGGUGAUCGGCCACAUUGGAACUGAGAUACGGUCCAGACUCCUACGGGAGGCAGCAGUGGGGAAUAUUGCACAAUGGGCGAAAGCCUGAUGCAGCAACGCCGCGUGAGUGAUGAAGGCCUUCGGGUUGUAAAGCUCUGUCUUUGGGGACGAUAAUGACGGACCCAAGGAGGAAG
rnacentral:rRNA from 1 species